CACGAUUCUACUGCACUAGCUAAAGCUUUUUCAGUCUGCGUGCAGUCUGUGCACCACAUCACAAGGCGCAGUCGCUGGUCAACACCUGUCUCUAGCAGAGCUAUCUGCUGUUGAUCUGUCUGUGGGUUGUUACAGCUGCUGUAUGUGCUACCUGUGCCUGUUUGUGUGUGUAUGUAAGCAUCUCAAUGCAAAAUAGUAGCCACAUGGCGUUGGUUUGUCAGUGGUUGCAGCAACAAUGGCUUCUGUGGGGAGUGGUGCAUGCAUAGCAGCUAGGGCACAUGGAUCCUGUUCCCACUGUUUCUGAAUGAGUAGUGUCUUUGAUUUGAUAGUGGGGGCAGAUAGGUACUGUAAGUCACAAUUGGUUACUGAUAGGAAAUAACAAAGAAAAGACAGAUUAUACAUUUUGUUUUACAGUAUAGUAAGGUUGUGGGUAGCAGAGAAUCACUUAGUCACAAUGUCUGUUCUUUUGCCACCCAGGUUUAGUCUGCCUUUUUGGCAUCCAGAUGCCUUUUAGUGGAGUAAAGAUGGCCGUCAUCACUAUGCUGCUCACAGCUCCACGGCUAAAAUUAGAGUAGGCAGGCAGGCAAGCAGGCGGACAGCUCAGAGAAAAAGAAAUUUCAAGGUGUCCGUAGCAACAGAUGAAUGGUAAACCCUGGUAGUGCUGUUAGACAUGCAGUGGUGGAGGCAGAUGGUUCAGCAGAGGUGAAACAAGCAGCCGACUGUUCUCAUGGAAACAGGCCCAUGUUUCCAGCCGACACAGACGACUGCCAAAGGAGGACCGCGUCAGCUGUAAUGUUCCUUCUGGCUGUUUGCAUGUACUGUAUGUUUGUAUACGUAUGAGACCAGAUGCCACUGGCGUUAAGUACACGUCAGAUGUAAAUAUGAAGUCCCACUGGUCCGGAGUGUGGCAACACAGACUGAGACACUUGCAGGACAAGUAAGAGUCAGCUAUUAUCUUCUUUAAAAGGUUGCUCUAUAUAUAGUAAAGAAACUAAACUGACAAAUCGUUUGACACUUUCACACCACAGCUCACUCUAACCUAAUGAAAAGCUAGGUUAGAAAGCUGGGUUAAAACAGGCUCACGUGACAGCCGAGGAUCUCUGAGGACGUUGGGUUGUGAACAGCUUCCAGAUAUUUGACCCAAAUGUGUGGUGUGUAGCGCGCAGCAGCUUAAUCCACUUUGAAACGGAUACAUCUGUGGAUGCCCAGGCCUACAUGUUAAAGAGUGAGCUGAGAUCAUGCUGGCUGUGGGUCCUUACCCUGUAUGUCCUUGUUCCUUCCC